rnacentral:other from 1 species
GUCCUGGAAUGUUGGUGAGUUGGAUAUGACCUCGAGCCGAUAAUCACACUUUGGUAAUUGAUUCAGGUAAUGUGUGCAAGUCCCCUUGGAUUUUUCCUUGAUGGGAAAGCCUAAUUUACCUACAUCGAUCACCCCCUUGAACUUCGGGUUCAAGGCCUAAUCCAAUAACGGCAUUUCGGGGC